UUCAACUGUGAUGAGCCUGCAGACCUGUAAUGAUUUGCAGGUAUGAUCACAAUCAUUAAUGAACAUCUAAGGGACUGAAUUACU
rnacentral:snoRNA from 2 species